UCUAGCUUCAACCUCACUCCAAGGUGUUUGAUAAUGAUCUUAUCUUGGUCACAAACGUGCUGAAAUAAAGUAGUCAGAAUUUGUUUGAACUUCUCCUUCUUCCUCUAGGCUGAGAGAUAUAUGCAUAAAAAGGAAAGUUCUAGCAAUUCUAAUAAGGAGUCUCUCCCUUCCAUCCCCACCUGCAGACUCACCAGGGAAUUUACAAGUCAUCCUAAAACUAUAUCUUCCUUUGUUGAAAGCAUCCCAGCAGAGGCCUGAAAGAUCAUGAAGAGGACUCAGUAUUAUACCUAGACAAGAAAUAAGACAGUGAUACAAUUUUUCAUGUUCCCAAGAAAUCUUACUAUAGAGAUUAAAGAGAUUCUUCCAGUGUGGUACUCAGCUCUCUAAUCCAAUCUAGUAAAAUUAAGUAACAAAUUGAUCAAACUUUGUACCAAUUAUACACCCAGACUUUUUCUAUGACCUUAAGGGAACCUGAUUUUCAUAAGAGAUUUAGCAAUUCAUGGAAUGACUGAAACUAAAUAGGUAGUUUGUCUUAGAAUGAGUUGAUGGAAUAGGUUUGAAGGCCAAUAGGGGUGUUCUGGUUUCUGCUUGUUUUAAACUCAGCAGUGGUAGGUGACAGGAGGAUCAUUGUAUGGAAAAUAAACAUCAAAGUCAGAAGCA
rnacentral:lncRNA from 1 species